rnacentral:rRNA from 1 species
CCUACGGGAGGCAGCAGUGAGGAAUAUUGGUCAAUGGCCGGAAGGCUGAACCAGCCAUGCCGCGUGAAGGUCAGUGCCCUAUGGGCGUUAAACUUCUUUUGUGCGGGAGCAAUAAUGGUCACGUGUGGCCAGACGAGAGUACCGUACGAAUAAGCAUCGGCUAACUUCGUGCCAGCCGCCGCGGUAAUACGGGGGAUGCAAGCGUUAUCCGGAUUUAUUGGGGUUAAAGGGUGCGUAGGCUGGGGGGUAAGUCAGCGGUGAAAUGCCUCCGCUCAACGGGGUGAAGUGCCAUUGAUACUGGCAGGCUGGAAUGCGGAUGCGGUGGGAGGAAUGUGUGGUGUAGCGGUGAAAUGCAUAGAUAUCACACAGAACACCGAUUGCGAAGGCAUCUCACGAAUCCGCGAUUGACGCUGAUGCACGAAAGCGUGGGUAUCAAACAGGAUUAGAUACCCCUGUAGUC